GAAUUUGGAGGUGAUGUGUGUGUUGGUCUUCUGUUUUCUGAAAAUGUGGGUCACUGUGUAAACUUUCAUUGAUUCGUCCACCGUCUAUCGCCUAUGAUCUCACUCUAGAUCCAUCGGACAUUAUCGACGUGUAAUUUCUUGGAGCAUUGGUUCUUUUCCCCUCUUGUUUUGGACUAAUGUAUUCAGGCGCAGAUCCUUCCACAGCCGUUGGUUACUUUGAAAAACAGUUGAUUUAAGUUUUGUCAUCCUUUUACCAUGUUGUUCAAUCUUUUUCUGGUUGAGUUUUGUUUUGUUUUUCAUUCUUCUCUGCCGUCCAUUGUUGGUUUCUGUGUUGCCACCAAGCAUUGCACUUUCUUGUUCCCCUUGUACAUUCGCUGAUCACUGACUUUUUGGAGGGAAAUCUGAAAGCAUACAACAAAAAAUAGUAGAGAAAAGAACAUGUCAUGUCGACCACUCUUAGAUCUAGGAAAAGCCAAGCUUCCAACUUUACGAUGCACAUGUCCAGAGAGAGGCCAAUGGAGUAGUUGCCCCUUUUAUUUAAGUGUUUGCAAGUCAUGUCUAUAUGAUAUGUAGUCCAUGUUUUCCCAUGGUAGUAGUACAUAUGAGAUGCUAACUGAAAAGCUGCAAUAGUUAAGCACACAUUUGUUUCUUUCAGUCUUAUAACUUUAUAAUAGCACUACCGUACCAUUCAUCAGUUUAAUUUCCUUGGGUCAUCUGCAAGAUAGGACCUCCUGUCACAGACACAUAUAUGUAUACAAAAAUCUAGUAACUGAGCAAGGACUGAACUGCACAUGCAUGCAGCUUUUAAUCUGAUCCUGAUGGAGCCAAUGAUCUAGCUGGUGUCCCAUUGGAUCCCUUCCUUUGCACAGGCCUUGAGACCCAAUCAACUGACAGUGCCAACUAAAAGAUAACCAUGGCAAAAUCCUUGUUUUGUGAUCUUGAGGGCCAUUGCAUGGUAAAUUAAGAACCAAUUGACCCUUCAUCUUGAGGCAACCGGCCAUCCUAAUUAUAUACAAUGUAAUGCUUGUGUCAUCUGAGGUCAGCAUCCAUGCAGAAGUGUGCUAUAUACAUACAUACUAUAUGGUUGUUGGGAGCAUCACAUAUUACAAAGUACAACCAGGUCUUGAGCUGGAAGCAAUGUGGAUGGGUGUAUGCAUAUGCUAAUUAUUUAUGCAUGUAUGUAUACAUGUAUGUGGCUCCCAAAGCUAGCUGCUGUGAAGCAUCUGAGGAGAAUAAUAAGUAAUGGUGCCAUGGAUCACAAGUGGAGAGUGAUCUGCAUUUAAGUAGGACAGCUCCUACCGGGUGGCGUGUAUCUUCAGACUAGAUUUUGCAGGACUAAAACCAGGGCAGACAGCCUGGCAAGUUUUGUUUAUUAAAAACUUCAGAUAGCAAUGCUUCAUUAAUGGACAGGACAAGGGGCUUUGAUUUUUUAGUGCCUUCGCUACUGGAAAAAAAAAGGGAAAGAGUACAGUCAAAGGGGGGUAUGGAGAUGUUCGAGAGAAUAUUAGCAUGCAUUUCGGGCCCCAUUCGGGCCCCAGGCGUCAGUGACUCCACACGUCACAGGCCUCAUCUUCCGGGCACGCGUCAUCGUGACCGUUGCACUUGCAAACUUCUGUUUGGCAUGUACGUACGUAUCUUCGUAUAGCCAGCCAGCUAGCAAAUUAACCCAGCUUUAUAUAUCAUCUCAAGAGAAAUAAAGAAAAUCCAGCUGUAUAUAUGGAACUGACACGUGUAUGACA